rnacentral:rRNA from 1 species
UACGGAGGGUGCAAGCGUUAAUCGGAAUUACUGGGCGUAAAGCGUGCGCAGGCGGUUUGUUAAGUCCGUUGUGAAAGCCCCGAGCUCAACUUGGGAAUUGCAGUGGAUACUGGCAGGCUGGAGUACGGUAGAGGAAGGUGGAAUUCCCGGUGUAGCAGUGAAAUGCGUAGAUAUCAGGAGGAACACCGGUGGCGAAGGCGGGUCUCUGGGCCGUAACUGACGCUGAGGAGCGAAAGCGUGGGGAGCGAACAGG